rnacentral:lncRNA from 1 species
GCCAAUCAGCGGAAGCCGCCGGGGCCGCCUAGAGAAGAGGCUGUGCUUCGGCGCUCCGGCUCCUCAGAGAGCCUCGGCUAGCUGGGAUUCUGUCCCUGACCGUCUUCACAGUCCAGGUGAUCUUGACUACUGCUUUACAGAGAAUUGGAUCUGAGGUGUGGAAACAGGAAGAGAACUAGAACUGGAAGUAAAGCAUUGAAGAUGUGACUGAAUUGCUGCAAUCUCAUGAUCAAAUUUGAAUGGAUGAGGAGUUGCUUUUUAGGGAUGAGCAAAGAAAGUGGUUUCUCGAGAUGGAAUCUACUGGUGAAGUUGCUGUGAACAUUGUUAAAAUGCCAAUAAAGGAUUUAGGAAUUACAGAAACCUGGUUGAUAAAGCAGUGCCAGGGUGUGAGAGAGUUGACUUCAAUUUUGAAAUAAGUUCCACUGGCUGGGUGUGGUGGCUCACACCUGCAAUCCCAGUACUUUAGGAGGCCGAGACUGGUAGAUCAUUUGAGGUCAGGAGUUCAAGACCAGCCUUGCCAACAUGGUGAAACCCCACCUCUACCAAAUUAGCCAGGUGUGGUGCACACCUGUAGUCCCAGCUACUUGGGAAGCUGAGGCAGGAGAAUCUCUUGAACCAGGGAGGAGGAGGUUGCAGUAAGCCGAGAUGGCGCCCCUGCACUCCAGCCUGGGUGACAGAGUGAGACCUUGCGUUUAAAAAAAAAAAAAAAGGAAAAGGAAAAAAAAGUUCUACUGUGGGUAAAAUGCUAUCAUGCUAUCAAACAGCAUCACAUGCUACAGAGAAGUCUUGUGAAAGGAUGUCAGUGUGGCAAACUUCAUUGUCUUUUAAGAAAUUGCCACAGCUAUCGUAAUCUUCAACCACCACCACCCUGAUGAGUCAGUAGCCAUCGUUAACGUUGGCGUAAGACCCUCCACCAGCAAAAAGAUUGUUAGCAUUUUUUUAGCAGUGAUGUAUUUAUCAAUUAUACAUAAUGCUAUUGUACACUUCUUAAUAGACUAUGGUAUAGUGUAACCAUAAUUUAUGCACUGGGAAACCAACAAAUUCAUGAGAUUCGCUUUAUUGUAGUGCUCUGGAAUUGAGCCUGCCGUGUUUCUGAGGUAUACCUGUGUAUUUAGUAUGUUCCUUGUAUAUAAAACCCCAUUUUAUAGGGUAGGAAACUAAGGCUUAGAGUUUGAGCAAUUUUCCCAUAGAUAACACCAAUAAAUUGAGGGCUGCAGAGACCACUUAAGUGGUUCUCUUAACAGUAGUCUAGACAUGACGUAAUGAGAUUUGGCUUAGGAGUGACAAUGGUAAGGAAGUUAAAGGAUUCAGGAACCAAAUACCAGUUAUUGAGAAGAAAGAAUGGCCUCAAAACAUCACUUCUCAAGGAAGCCUUGAUACCCUCACCCUUACUACACUGUAUCCUCCAUUUGAAUGUUGUCAAGAGCUCUUCUCACAAUUGUAAAUAAUAAUUGUGUAAUUUUGUUUUUUUUUUCCUACUUUAGGUUGCUCCUUGAGGGCAGGACAGUUCUUAUGGCUUUAUCCGUUGCGUAAGCACAGAGAGGUCUGCGAGGUCAAAACUAUUGUCAUGAUAGCAAGAUGCCUGUCUUUUUCAUUUAUUCUCACGGUGUGCAGAGGCUACAUGAUGUGUGAUGACAUCCUCAUUGAUGUUAAUGAAUGGUGCUAUACUUGAAUUUUCUAAGGUGUCAUUAGGUAGGUUUAGGUAUGCAUACUUGUUUUUAGAAAUUAUUUUUUUCCUUUUUCCCAUUUUUAGAAAUCAACUCAUUUUUUAGGUUAUGCCUUCAGUAAUCUUUGCAACCUCAAUAUUGUGUAAUGGUUACUUUAAAAUACUGUAGUUUUCUUUGUGCCUAAGUAUAAACAUAAGUACAUUUUGUUGUUUUGUUUGCAAUAGUGGUUUAAAUAUUUUCCCAAAAUAUCCAAAUUUAAAAAUUCUACAACUUUAGAAUUUAAUAAAUUUAUUCUAAAAUA